rnacentral:hammerhead_ribozyme from 1 species
AUCCAGCUGAUGAGUCCUAAAUAAGACGAAACGCACGUCAAACUGGAU